GGAUUUUGUGAAAAGGGAAGCAUGGAAUGGAGCCGAGAAAGAUACUUCCCACAGCGAGAAAGAACAGAUGGACAUCUCUGGAAGAUUUGCAGAACAGGAAAAUUUGACACUAGAACUGAAGAAACAGAAAGAUCUUGAUAGCUGGAAGAGUAUUGAGAGGGGUACAAGAGACAGGAAGAAGGAUAGGGAUGUAGACAUUGAAGCAGAAAGACCUGAUAAACGCAGUAGGUACCAUGAAAAAGAAUCUGAGGAAGGAGGUAUUGAUGACGAAGGGAGUACGGAAAGGGAAAUAGAUGCUUUUAAUAGUGGAAUUCAGCAGCGAAAGAGGAUGCUUCGGUCAAGGGGGAGCCCUCAAAUGGGAAAUCAUGAACCUCGUUUUAGGUCCCGCAUUCAGGAUAUUGAAGGGUACGACUUCAAUUUGUUGAAUGAGAACAUGAAUUUUCAAUUAUUAUGUUGAGAUCUUUUCAUGCUUUUUUAUAAGUUUUAUAUUUAUUAGGUGUACGCAUUUAUUUUAUUGUUUAUAAUUCCCAUAUUGUUUCCAAUUUUGGUAUCUAAGAAGCUAUUAGUGAUAUGUGAUGUGUACUUGUCCAAAACAAGUGAUGUUGCGUUAUAGCAAAGGUAUGUUAAAAAACUCUAUCAGGUUUAAUUGGUUUAUGCCCAUUCUUGGUGUCAUUUUUAUUAUUAUUAUUAUUAUUUAUUUAUUUAUUAUUAUUAUUAUUAUUUUUUUUUUGCAUGUGUGAUUUGGUAAACAAUGAUCAUGUGCACUUUUUUGCCCCCCUCCCCCCGAUAUCUACAUUUCAUUGACAAUGAGAAGGGGGAAUAUAGCACAUGUAUAUAAAGCAGAUGAGAACUAUCAACCUGUGAUUUUUAUGCAAAUUUCCAUAUACUGUUUAAAGUUAAAUUUAGGAACUUUUAUCUUGUCUCCAUUUUCUUACCAAAAUUUCAAUAAGUAAUGAAUGGCAGCUGAACUGAGUAUCGUCCUGUUUCUGUUCUUGAUAUUUCUUUUAUCUUUGUCAGGUUAUGUUUGAGCCUUAUGAUAGAAUUCCAUUAAAGCAUGUUUCGAAUGUACUAUAUUUCAUUGGUACUCUGUAAAUGAUGUCAUUAAGUAUUAAUCAGGCAUAAAUCGCUGUUUUCUUAAUACAACAUGGCCUUCCAAACCAAAAUAAAAUAAAAUAAUAAUAAUAACAAAAAAAAUCUUAUAUCUCUUGCUCUUCAAAGUUUAUCUCCAUUAAAAUUCCUUUAUUUUGAAGUUUGAAUAUGGCAAUGUAUAAGUUUAUCCGGCUGACUAUGAGGAAGUUGUGGACCAUUGGCCUGGGUGACUGCAAUAGUAAUCAUCUACAUACUUCGUAUACUAUAUGCAGUUGAUACAAUGUAAAAUGUAUUCAUUGCAUUUUGUUUACUAUUUGACAAGAUACACUUUUAUUGCUACUACUUUUUCAUGCUUCUGUUUCACAUGGUUUGAGAGCCAACAAAGUAGGAAAAUGAACACUGAACAGUGUUGUGAGUCGAACUUGAAACCUUUAGUGUCAGGGUUUUAGGCUCAAUUCUUUUAACACUGUAUGAAGACCUCAUUGGUACUUCUUGUCGGGGCCCCCAAAGACAGAUGCCUUUUGGUAAUUAUACUGUGCCAUAUUAAAACGCAAUCUUUAAAUAUUUAGAGAUAGAAGCAAAGUUGUUGAGGGGAUCUAAACUUACCUUAACAUUUCAAGUAAAACCUGCACCGAGAUUAAUUAUUCUGAUACUACACAUGAUUACUGUAAACAUAGAUUUGGUUCAUGAAGUUGAGGUGAUUAAUGCUAUGAAUUUGGAUUUAGUCAAUAUCAUAAGGUUUUUUCUUUAGGACAUUGCUUGAACUUUCUUGGCACUCAUCAAAACUAGAAAGAAUUGUAGAAUAGCAAAAUAAAAAAGUCCAUUACUGUUUGCUAUCAAUCAAUACUGUAAUGGACAAAUUAUGACUUGGAAACAAAAUUCUAGAUGUGUUUUGUACAACAUAUAAAAAAGUGGGAUUUCUUCUGUUACAAAUGCGCUGGGAAAAAUAUGCAGUAUGCAUUAAAUAAGUGGGGUCCUUUUCUUUCCUCAUUGAAAAAGGACACGUAGCCUAAUCUCGAAAGAUCCACCUUAAGACAGCUGUUUCUGGAGUGAAAGUUUGUAGAGUCUGAACCACUUAAAGGGACCUAGGGUUUUCUGCUCAUUGUGACUACAACGUCCUGUUUCUCUCAGUAGCAUUAUGCACUGGCAAGUUCAUUUUCCCACUUUUAUUGAAUGCUUAAAUGGUUUUGAUUUUUGGUGUGUAUUGAAUUAUGCUCUGAAAUGGUUCUUCAUUUUGGUCUUUAAAAUUUGUCUAGAAAAUUGAUAUACACAUGCAAACUUUUUGUUUACAGUUAAACACAGGGGAGGGGGAGAGGUAGAGGGGAGAGGAGGGGAGGGGAGGGGAGGGGAGAAGUGUUGCAUUAGUGAUGCUGGUUAUAAAUUACGAUGUUAUGCCUCUAAAUGUUGUAGUGGUUUCUUAUACCCAUCACCUAAUUUUUAGAUUAACGAAAUGAAUUUUUUACUUAUUGCUUCUUGAGUUCAUUGAAUGAGUGUGUUUUGCCAUCUAAGAGCUGCUAAUCCAAAUGGAGAAAAUGUAUAAUGUUUAAUCUGAAAGUUUAUAAAUGCUUUAUGCAUGGUACGUUCUUGAUUUUUUCUACUUCUAUUUUUACAUUUUUUCCCCAUCAAACUACAGGUAUCACAGUUUAUAAAAUGAAAUGAGUAUUAAUUGGUGAUUUAUCUUAUUAAUAAGUUCUAGUGAUCCUGUGCUUUCUCUUUUCACAAAUGGAAGUCAUGUUAACAUUCACUGGAGAAUGGUUGUUACAUUUUUGAGCUACUCUGUGUCCACCCCAAAUGGCAAUACACUAACGAGCCCUCCUUGGAUACUUAGUAUCAUUUCACAUUCUGUAAAAUUGUAGCUUUCCUUUCUUCUCGUAUAUGAUAAAUAAAUUGUUGUUAUAAUCUGGAUAAUUUUGCGUAUCUUUUUAUUCACACCUGCUAUUUUAUUCUUCUAACCAGGGAACUUAAUAGAUUCUGAUUAUUGAGUAAUCCAUAUUAAUUGCUAUAUUCUGUUAUUGUAAUGUUGGAAAAAUAUUGGCUUGCUAUGUUUUCUGAUUUUCUUCUUGAUCCGUUCAGUACAAAGUUGGAUUAUAUGAUCCAUUAGAAGAAAGUUCCUUGAUUUGGGUUGAAAUGAUGGGCUUAACCAUUUUAUGUUUUAAUUUUAUGCAGGUCCCAAGGUAAGCUAUCAUUUCAUGUCCAGCAGGAACUCUUAUGUGGUAUUAUUAGACAGGAAGUUCUUCUGUUCACCUGUUUUGUAUUAGCUGAAUUUACUAUCACUGAACUUUUGUAUUAAGCUAUACACACUAUUCAUUGGUUUUGAUAUCAAUCUAUUGCUUAUGAGACAGUAAGAAUAGUUGUUCUUUAUCAGGGACAUGAGAUGUGAUGCAGAUGUCGUUUUGUCAAUAUUAUUGUGAAAUUAGAAUUAGAAUUUCUCAAAUGUGAGAAAUGUAAUCUGGAAGAAUUCAGGAUGCAAAGGUUCUGCAUAAAAAUGUUUGUUAAGAUAUAGUUUUCUAAUGCAUAUACUUCAUCUUCUUUUUAAUUCUGUGCAACUAGCUAUGUGGUUCCUGGUAACCGUUAACAUUAUUGUUCUUGCAAAGUACUUCUUGCCUUCUGGAUUAGUUAUGGUGAACAUGCUUUUUCAUUUAGCUUUGCCCUAGGGACGUGUAAUUGUUAUUUUAUUCUACACUGCCAAAUGGUCUUGUGAAAUGCUUAUUGUUGCCUUCUGGAUUAGCCAUCAGAAACCUUUCCCUGUUUGCUUCGUUGUGCGAACAUGUAAUCGUUAUUUCAUUCUUAUUUACAAUUUGUUUUCGCAAAAUGAUGCUUGUUGUCUUCUGGUUAGUUAUCAGGAACAUGCCUUUUCAGUUUGCUUUGCCCUUGGGUUAUGUAAUAAAUAUUUCAUUCUAGGUUUACCUUUUUCUGAAUAUCUACCAUGUUUUGUUAAUCCAAUCUUUAUUAAUUUCAUAUGAUUUGCUUAUAUGUUUUUGACUUCGUGAAUGAUUACUUCUUGAGGGGAUAGAAGCCAUUCACUUACACAGUUCAUUUCCACUUGAACCACUACUUUAUAAGGCAUUUCUCUCAGUGUCCACAUUUCUGCCUCUCCUUGACAAGAACUCUGAUUUCAUGUGCAUGUUGUUUUAGCUGUCUAACAUCACUUCACUGGAUUCUGAGUUCUAUUUUUAGUUGCAUUUUUUCCUUUUGAUUUAGUGUCUAGAGUAAUAUCAUACAUUUUAUGAGAAAAUCUUAAUUUCUUUGUUAAAAAGUAUAUACCAGUGUUUACUAAACUACAAUGAGUAAACUUGUGGGUAAAAUUUUUUAUGUUUGGUCUAUUUAACCCAAUCAUGUGAAAAUAUAUCUAUUUAACCCAAUCAUGUGAAAAUAUAUCUUACUUUCAUCAGCAAAAAUGGUUUGCAGGUUUUAAAACAUUUUAAAAAGUUGUUUUUAUAAUUUUUUAUCUUUCAAAUUCAGCUUGAUAAUUCAAAAAAAAUAACAACUGCUAGGAUUUUCUGUUGUAAUUCAUGUUUAAAAAAAAAAAAAAAAUUAGAAGUUGUAAUGAACUAUUCAUGCUGUGUUGAAUGUAAGUUAUUAUGUUGGAUCAUCAGGGCCACAGGAGCUGCUGACUCCACGUUUUUAGCUUCAUAAUUUUCGUUUAUUUUGUCCCAUUUUCUGUUGAAUGCUUUUCACGAAUUUUGAUUACAUGUCUGCUAGUGGAGUGGUCCUGAAAUGUCAAUAGCUCCAGUUAUUGUUUCUUUCAGUGUAACAACAAAGUAAGUUCUCAUGCCAAAGCUAUUGAAUUUCCUUCCUAGUUGGAUAUAUCAUAGUAGGGUAACAUCUUUUUGAGGAGAGUUUGCAUUGUGUUAAUAUGAUGUUAGGAAAUAUAAUUUCUGACAUCCUGUCCUCUGGACAAGAAAGAGAAAAAAAUUCCAAUGGGAUUAAGUGGUGGGCCUGGUGGCACGAUAGGCAAUACAUUCACAUGUUCCAUACUUGGCAAUAUCAAGUCUAUAAUGUUUAAGCAGGCAUUUUUUUUUAUACUAAUGUUUAAGAAGUUUAUAAUUUAUUUGAUGGUCAUUUAUCAAUUUCAAGUGGACAUUUAUGGGACAUUUGGUUUCAAAUCAGAAACAGCGUUUACUAUAUGUAGCUGUGAUAAGGAUUCUAAUAUAUUUCUGUAUUGAAUAUGUUCUUUAAGGCCAGACAGAAAUCUCAUCUCAUUGAGUUAGGCGCUCCUAAGCUUCCUAAGAGAUGGUUUUCUUGCCUUAAUUUAAAGAACAUAUAUUUAAAUAUAUGAUUUUCUCCCAUAGUGAUUAAAAAAUACACAUAAAUUUCAUAUAACUGGUCUUUGAAUCUAAAUUAGAAUAGUUUUUAUGAUAUAGAUAGAGCUACUGGUUUUCACGAAUGAUUUACUUAUUAAUUAUGCAAUCUUCAUUAUAUGAAUUUUUUAUGAUUCUGUGGUGUUACCAUACAGGUAAGGCUGAUGUGUCUUGUGUUGUUUACAAAAUUGGUGGAUGCAUGCAAGAACUGUUAAAGUUGUGGAAGGAAUUUCAAUCAUCACAAGCUGAUAAAACAUGUGAAAGCUCUCAAAAUGGUCCUACUCUUGAAAUUCGGAUACCAGCUGAAC
rnacentral:lncRNA from 1 species